rnacentral:rRNA from 1 species
GAUGAACGCUAGCUACAGGCUUAACACAUGCAAGUCGAGGGGCAGCACGGAGAUAGCUUGCUAUCUUGGGUGGCGACCGGCGCACGGGUGAGUAACGCGUAUCCAACCUGCCCAUUACUCAGGGAUAGCCUUGCGAAAGUAAGAUUAAUAUCUGAUGUUGUUAAAAACCCGCAUGAGUUUUUAACCAAAGAUUUAUUGGUAAUGGAUGGGGAUGCGUGACAUUAGGUAGUAGGUGAGGUAACGGCUCACCUAGCCGACGAUGUCUAGGGGUUCUGAGAGGAAGGUCCCCCCANACUGGAACUGAGACACGGUCCAGACUCCUACGGGAGGCAGCAGUGAGGAAUAUUGGUCAAUGGACGAGAGUCUGAACCAGCCAAGUAGCGUGCAGGAUGACGGCCCUCUGGGUUGUAAA